UACGAGGGGUGCAAGCGUUGCUCGGAAUUAUUGGGCGUAAAGGGCAGGUAGGUGGUCUUACUUGUCUGGGGUGAAAGCCUUGGGCUCAACUCAAGAAGUGCCCCAGAAACGGUAAGACUAGAGUCCUGGAGAGGGUCGUGGAAUUCCCGGUGUAGCGGUGAAAUGCGUAGAGAUCGGGAGGAACACCAGCGGCGAAGGCGGCGACCUGGACAGGCACUGACACUCAACUGCGAAAGCGUGGGGAGCAAACAGG
rnacentral:rRNA from 1 species